UCGAUGUUAGGAUACUGCUCCAAUCUCAGAAAAGGGACCCUAAAUAUAGACUGGUAGGUGUCAGAAACUCAGAAUAUACGAACAAAAGAAUUGGAUUUUGAAAGGGGAAACCAGGAAAGGAAAGAAUAAGUGCAUGCAUGAACUUAUCUGUGAUAGUAAUCGAAGAAUCAGGGGAGAUAUGAACCCUAAUCGGAAAAUAUUCAUUAUGGGAGUUUUAAUCGACGAAAUCGUCGGAUU
rnacentral:lncRNA from 1 species